rnacentral:lncRNA from 1 species
CAAAGAUUUAAGUUGUUUACUGUCUGGUAGCCUCAUGUAACUGACCCCACCCCGAAAAUCCUCCUUUGUUUUUAGCUAUAGAUAAUAUUUAAGCUGUGGCUUCUGCCAUGUACUUAAUCCUGUUUGAUUCUUAUCUAAAAGUUAUAGGACCACCCAAUAACGAGACCCUACCAGCACUGAUACCAUUUUAACAACUUUUUUUACAUAUUCUUUCCUUUGUCUUGUAAAGAGAUAACUCACAUACCUAUGCCUUAAAUUUAGCCUUACUCUCCACCCAUGUUUGCAGCAGCAGCUCUGACUGCCCAUGGGUCCUGUCCCCAUGCUAUUCCACACUAUUCUCUAAAUAAAAGAGCACUACUGCCAGACCUUGAGACCCCAAGAAAUCUUUCUUUCGACUCCUCGGCUCACCGGCCCCGCAUCAGGGGGAGGCGACCUCAGGAUUCGAAUCACGUCCUCAAGUCUCUCGCCCUGAAAUUUCCAAAUGUUUGGUGUAGUUUGAUGUCAUUCUCUCUUUGUGCAGACAAGUCUCGUCCCAAUGUCUCCAGAUGGUUGGCCCCACAGAGGAAAAGGCAGCUUCUCUCUCCCACCAUCCACACGCUUUAGAUUUAUGGCAAAAACGGGCAAUUACUGCUCCUGCCCAGAGAGGAAAAGCCGCACCUAAAUCGUUGAGGGUUGAGUAGUAGGUGUGAGCGAGCAGCAUACUAAACCUAGGAGGCUUAUCGAACCAAUAAGCAGAGGAAGCGACCAAAGUAUCACGGACCAGGUCAUCCUUUAGUAUUGUGAGUGCACAUUUCUUGUUUCAGUGUACGUCGAUUUAAUCAUCCUUGGAUAGAAAUUAAACAGUUGUUGACUAGUAACCAGAAAUGCGAAGAAGACAGUAAUUCAAAUACUGUAGACAGCUGCGGCGAAAGCGGCAAGGAGUGUAAGUGACAGGCUCCGGCAUCGGUCGGAGACACGUUAGUGCUUUCAGGGGUUAAGUCUUCGGAACGAAGCCUGUAAGGACAGGUAACCCCGUGAGCGCGAGGCCUCCAACAAUAACGAUUUAAACGCUCCAAUCAGAAGACAGACGUUGGCAGAAUGGGGAAAGUGAUUCAAGGGUAUACUGCUCCCCAGAGCCCUAGUUUAGGAGUCACGAGAGCGUCACGGUGGACGCAGUUGUCGCCCGUCCCUCCCCUCGAAGUGACAAGUAAACAGACGCCCGUGGAGCAGCAGGCGUCCGACACCGCGCGGGGAACCCUGACGGACCCCACAGCUCCGCUGGCAGCGACGCAGCCAGCACCCCAGGACAUCCCGGGAGCAGCAG